rnacentral:rRNA from 1 species
GGAAUAUUGCGCAAUGGACGAAAGUCUGACGCAGCCACGCCGCGUGAGUGAGGAAGGCCUUCGGGUUGUAAAGCUCUGUCGGCUGGGAAAAACGGCUAUCCGGGGAAAGUUCGGGUAGCGUGAUGGUACCAGCAAAGGAAGCACCGGCAAACUCUGUGCCAGCAGCCGCGGUAAUACAGAGGGUGCAAGCGUUGUUCGGAAUUACUGGGCGUAAAGCGUGCGUAGUCGGUAUUGAGAGUCACGGGUGAAA